rnacentral:miRNA from 1 species
AAGUACUUUUCUUGCUUUUGAAAG